rnacentral:lncRNA from 1 species
GUGACUCCACCUAUGAUGUCAGAACUGUGAAUUGUUUUUGCUGCCAAAAAUUCCUGUUCACACGACUGUGAUGCGCUGCUUGUCUGUGGAUAACCUUUCUUAGGCAACUAAAGCUUUUAAGGUAAUGAAAGCCCAUCAGCCACACUGCCAAAGAAGAGAAGAAUAAAGAAUGAUUGUCCUUCGUAAUUUUAAGAGCUCAACUACGUCAUGUACAGAGAGAGAUACUUGAACUGGCUUAGUGGGAGAGACCCCACAGAAAGGGGGAAGGUACUUCUCAGCGUAACAGAGAGGAUUGUGCUUUUGCAUCCCUCAGUUGAAGCAUAGCUUCUGGCCACUGCUGCGUGCUGAAUCCUGUACCCUUUUGGGCAUUCCUAAAGAG